AAGUCGUAACAAGGUUUCCGUAGGUGAACCUGCGGAAGGAUCAUUACCUGAGGCCUCGGGCCGUUCCCGGGGGGGCGCAGGGUGUGGAGACUCUCCGCGCCCUGCGCCCCCCCGGGAGCGCUUAGCCCCUGACUAUCACCUUGACUAUGCGCACCCUUGUUGUUCCCUCGGCAGUCCGCUGCCGCCAGGGACCACGAGACCCCUUGCAUCAGCAUUAAACCUCUGAAAACAAACCUAAUUAUUUACAA
rnacentral:misc_RNA from 1 species